AAUUAGGAGACGCUUGGGAAACCUUAACAAUGAUUUACGCCGAAUUGUCGUUGGUAAAAGGGUACGUUAUGCCAACACUGAUAGCGGACCUCGUUCUGUUGUUUGUGCUUUACCGGCUUAGCAAGGCAGUGGUGCUUAAUUGGAAGUCCAUAGCAGCUGGGAGAAGAAUGUCCAAGACUGUAGGCUCGCCUCCAGCACAGUGGAUAGUCGGGCACGCCUACAGUCUAGCUCCAACGCCCGAAGGUCUUCUAAGCAACGUAAAAACAGCAGCAAGUUAUCCUGGCAUGAUGGUGCUGUGGUUGGCACAUAAAUGGAUCGUGCAAGUCUACCAUCCAGAUACUGUGAGGAAAGUUCUCUCCACACAAGCAACCAAAGACGACAUGACAUAUGAGUACUUAAAGGCGUGGGUCGGGAAUGGACUUCUAACCAGCAACGGUAAAAGGUUUCAACGGCAAAAGAAACUUUUGGUAACCGUUUUUCACCAGGACCUAAUAAAACAAUAUUCCACGGUUUUCACGAACGCGGCCGACAAGUUGAUCGAAAAAUGGAGCGAGAAACAAAAUCAAUCGGUGGAACUUUUCGAGGACAUGAGUCUUCUUACAUUAGAUUGUAUUUUAAUCUGCGCUAUGUCUACGGACCUCGACUGUCAGCGCAUAGGAAAACAACACCCCUAUAUAGAUGCCGUACAUCAAUUAGCCUACCUAGCCAUAAAGAGGUUCUAUAACCCGUGGGUUCGACACGACUUCAUCUACAACCUAACAGCUGAUGGCAGGCUGUGGAAAAAAGCACUAAACGUUGUUCAUGAGAUGUCAGAGAGUGUUGUCAAAGAGAGAAGAAAAGUAGUUUCCAUCAGCGACAAACCAAAGCUUACCAAAACCAAAUACGUUGAUUUCUUGGACGUCCUACUACGUGCAAAGGAUGAAAGUGGCGACGGCUAACCGACCAAGAAAUAAGGGAACAGGUUGAUACGUUUCUGUUUGGCGGCCACGACACGACGGCCAGUGCUAUUUGUUGGUUCUUAUACAACCUAGCCUGUCAUCCUAAAUAUCAGGAUAAAUGUCGUGGAGAAGUCAAAGAAGUUAUGCAAGGUCGAAAAGACGUUCAACUGUUUGAUAUUGGAAACAUGACAUAUCUUACAAUGUGCUUGAAAGAAAGCAUGAGGUUGCAUUCACCUAUACCGUUUAUUGGACGAAAAGUAAAAAAUCCAAUUAACCUUCACCGACCAGAUAGUAACACUGAGGUUACAUUAUGCCCAGGAGCAACCAUCAUUCCCCAUCUACUUAGUUUACACAGAAAUCCUGACGUGUGGGACGAACCUGGGGUUUACGAUCCUGAAAGGUUUAACACAAAGAAUGCAUCUAGACGUCACCCUUACGCAUAUAUUCCAUUCUCUGCCGGGCCAAGGGUUUGCAUUGGACAAAACUUCGCGCUUGUCGAAAUGAAGCUUACGGUGGCAAAGUUACUUCUGAACUACGAGUUUUAUGUCGACAAAGAUAUCCCCAAACCACAACCGAUUCCAAAUGUAGUUCUGAGGUCGCAAAAUGGACUUCAUGUAAAAUUUAGAAAAAUAUAAGCAGUAGUGAACUAUUUGUAAGACAAUUUUGAGCUUAUUAUCACAUAUACUAUGGGGUAAGUCGAAUACUGUUAGCACAUAGUAUACCAUAUUUUUAAGUCUUGAUAAAUAACCACGCUGUUUUGGAGCUGUGAUGAUACGUUUUCUUUUAUUCUGUAAAUGUAUUAAUUGUUUACCACAAUAUGAGACACUAAAAGAGUAUAAUGAAAACCUAAACCAUCUUACCCCAACCUUCUAUAUUGCAUUUGAUACCAUUUUCUCAGCUUGCCUAUUUUCUGCUUCAUUUCUUGCCUUAUAUUUACCGAUAUCCUACUGUACUACAUUCAGAGCCACAAGACAAAACAUGCAUUCAAAUGCAGGAAUCUAUAUUUACUUAUCCUUAUUAUAUAAGCAUACGCCGCAAUGUACUCAAUAUUUGGCUGGUGAAACUUUCUUAAGCGUAACUCAUUUAUAUCCGCAUAUGUCCUUAUAAGUAUAAAUCAUUUCAACGACAUUACUUUGCAGUGCAAAUAUUCACGACGGUAUACCUACGUUCACGUUCAGUAAAACAACUGCUUUUGAUUCGUUACAGUCCUUGACUUCUGUCAAAAUAUAAUCUUACGAAACAGCACACAUUUUGUAGUUUUUGACCUAAUGCGCAGUUUAAACAGUUACCGACAGAUGAGUAGGCUACUAAUUUCUAAUAUGCAAUGCUUUACAAAUAUAUUUCUUCAAAUGGUUAUACUGAACAGUAUUUAAAAAAUAAAAUGUUCUACAAAUACAUUCAAUGUCGUUACCGAAUUUCCAAAGAUUUCUGAUCGCUCAGUCGAUCGUGGUAGUAAGGGUUAUUUAAAUUUAUGUUAGUUACAAUACGUGCUCAUUCAUUAGGGCUCUGCGGUUUUGUUCUGAUACCUUUGACCUAGUACCUUUGUGACGGGACUUUCCCCCAAGCAAAGUCCAAACAAUGAACAAACAAACCAAAAAAAGUUUAUUAUGCCAUUAAAAUAAAAUUCUCUGUAUGGACGAGCAUCUACCGCCAGUGCUGGCGCAAGGUCUAUAAAAUAGAAGGAUGGUAUUUAACGACUGCUAUGUCCUUUUCCGGCUUCACGAGGACAAUGUAAGUUCAUUCCUUUCUCUGGUGGCCAGUGCUUCGUCAACAUAAUUUGCUGCAAACAUGUGACAUGAAGGAAUGCUAAUGUUGUAUGGCAACACUUAUACUCGCGUCAUCUGUUUUGCAUUGGAUACGGAUACGAAACCCA